rnacentral:rRNA from 1 species
UGGGGAAUUUUGCACAAUGGGGGAAACCCUGAUGCAGCGACGCCGCGUGAUUUAGAAGGCCUUCGGGUUGUAAAAAUCUUUUCUAUGGGAAGAAAAUGACAGUACCAUAGGAAUAAGGACCGGCUAAUUACGUGCCAGCAGCCGCGGUAAUACGAAAGGUCCGAGCGUUGUCCGGAAUCAUUGGGCGUAAAGGGUACGUAGGCGGGUAAGCAAGUUAGAAGUGAAAUCCUAUAGCUCAACUAUAGUAAGCUUUUAAAACUGCUCAUCUUGAGGUAUGGAAGGGAAAGUGGAAUUCCUAGUGUAGCGGUGAAAUGCGCAGAUAUUAGGAGGAAUACCGGUGGCGAAGGCGACUUUCUGGCCAUAACCUGACGCUGAGGUACGAAAGCGUGGGUAGCAAACAGG